GGGAGUAACUUCUGGAAACCGGAGCUAAUACCGGAUAACAUAUUGAACCGCAUGGUUCAAUAGUGAAAGGCGGCUUUGCUGUCACUUAUAGAUGGAUCCGCGCCGUAUUAGCUAGUUGGUAAGGUAACGGCUUACCAAGGCAACGAUACGUAGCCGACCUGAGAGGGUGAUCGGCCACACUGGAACUGAGACACGGUCCAG
rnacentral:rRNA from 1 species